GGAAAACAACCCACUGAUGAACUUCAACGCUGGCUUCAUAAGGAUGAGAAUCCUAAUGAAUGCACGACUAGUGGAAGUGAAUGAAAGGUCUUUGAGUUUUCUAUGUUUUUUGUCUGCACAAGUUAAGAGAUCAUCUCAUGCUCAAACCAAGUCUUUAAUUUCUUGGGUUUUACAUCUCCAAAAGCUUAUCAGAACUACAACUUCUCUUUGCGAUUAAUCAUUGAUCUACCAAAGUUACUGUGCAAUUAUGCUCUAGAUUGCUUGUG